CUCCCCCCACGCGUCUAACGCGAAGCAGUUCCUGGCCUGGCCCUGCGGCGAGGCUAUCCCCGCUCAGAGUGCGUGGGCGCAGGAGACCAGCCUGUCCCUUCCCCCGCAGAUCCCAGCUUGUUCUUCAAGACCUUGUCAGCAGAAGCCGGCCAGGGAAGCAGGUGCUCCUAAUAGAGAUGGCUCUCCCUGCUCUACACAGACUGAGGCCUCCUAGGCCAUCCAGUUCCAUCUUUCUGAGAGAGGGAGCCUCCACAGGGCUGGAAGGGGAUGCAGGUUCUAGGUUAUUGAUCCUGAAGACUGAACCUGUGGAGUAAAAGAGGAGUGAGGGGACCAGGUUUAUGGAGAACAGACAGGGGCAGGCCAAGGAGGAGAUGGCCAGGGUCUCUGAAGACAGACUGUGUCAUAGUUACCCUUCUGUUGCUGUGAAGAGACAUGUGACCGAUGGAGCACGUACCGAGACUCUCAGCAUCGGAUGGGGUGAAGAAACAAAAGAAAUCCAAAGACAGAAACGACAGGAAAUGAGGAUAUUGAAAACUGACACUACUAUAUCUACAUUUGGUUUAGGUUUUUUUUUUUUCCUUUUUGGAAGUUGUAUGUAAGAGAAAAAAAAUCACAAAAUGCUUUCAUUUCUCUGUGAUUGAGCAAACUCGUAAAAUAUUAAAGUAUUGAUUAAUAAUUGAUUAGAACUAACCUCACUGGAGCCAAUCAACCAUUUGGCAGGAUCGCUUUAAACUUUUAGGGGCUUUUAGCCCCCCUGGCUUCUAACCUUCCUCUUGUCUGAUUCAUUCAGGACUGAGCAGCGCUUCAGUCUGUUGGACAUGUGAUGUCACACUAUCCCUAUAGAACUGUGAGGUG
rnacentral:lncRNA from 1 species